ACGCGAGCUGGGUUCAGAACGUCGUGAGACAGUUCGGUCCCUAUCCGUCGCAGGCGUAGGAAAUUUGAGAAGACCUGUCCUUAGUACGAGAGGACCGGGAUGGACGUACCUCUGGUGUACCAGUUGUUCUGCCAAGGGCAUGGCUGGGUAGCUAUGUACGGAAUGGAUAAGCGCUGAAAGCAUCUAAGCGCGAAGCCAACUUCAAGAUAAGAUUUCCCACCG
rnacentral:rRNA from 1 species